rnacentral:rRNA from 1 species
AAUGGGGGCAACCCUGACGCAGCAACGCCGCGUGAGUGAUGAAGGCCUUUGGGUCGUAAAACUCUGUCAGCAGGAAAGAAGUUAUAUGUGGUUAAUACCCAUGUAUAUUGACGGUACCUGCAAAGGAAGCACCGGCUAACUCCGUGCCAGCAGCCGCGGUAACACGGAGGGUGCAAGCGUUAUUCGGAAUUAUUGGGCGUAAAGGGCGCGUAGGCGGCCGAACAGGUCAGAUGUGAAAGCCCGGGGCUUAACCCCGGAAGUGCAUUUGAAACCUUUUGGCUUGAGUAUGGGAGAGGAGAGCGGAAUUCCUGGUGUAGAGGUGAAAUUCGUAGAUAUCAGGAGGAACACCGGUGGCGAAGGCGGCUCUCUGGACCAAUACUGACGCUGAGGCGCGAAGGCGUGGGUAGCAAA